AAAGGUGAAGGACCCGGUCUUCGGACUGGGAGCGUACACAGGUGCUGCAGUGGCUGUCGUCAGCUCGUGUCGUGAGAUGUUGGGUUAAGUCCCGUAACGAGCGCAACCUUGUCCUUAGUUACCAGCACGUUAUGGUGGGCACUCUAAGGAGACUGCCGGUGACAACCGGAGGAAGGUGGGGAUGACGUCAAGUCAUCAUGGCCCUUACGGCCUGGGCUACACACGUGCUACAAUGGUCGGUACAAAGGGUUGCCAAGCCGCGAGGUGGAGCUAAUCCCAUAAAACCGAUCGUAGUCCGGAUCGCAGUCUGCAACUCGACUGCGUGAAGUCGGAAUCGCUAGUAAUCGUGAAUCAGAAUGUCACGGUGAAUACGUUCCCGGGCCUU
rnacentral:rRNA from 1 species